AUCACAUUAUAAACAUUAGACAUGGCAUGAAUAGCUAGGAUUACAAGCCAUAAUCAAUAUGAGUCACAUCUCAUGGCCAUAUACAUAUAACUCAAUAUAAGCCAACACAUUUGACCAAAGCAAAAUAAUACAUGUCAAUCAACUAGAUCCUUAUACAUGUCACUCAUUUGAAAUUUCUAAUAUAUAUACUUCAUUAUUCCAAAGGUAGCGACUUGAUAGUGUGAUGCUGUCUCUGACGAUCUCCAACUCCAAGCUAAUCUGAAAAUAAUAAGCAAUUUAACAACUUGCUUCUCAUGGUAAUACGGCCCUAUUUGCAUUUUUACUCAUGUUCCUGUCAAGUUGUUUUCUUGAGUCAUAGUCACUAAAUUAUUUAUAUCUGGAGAUACAGAAAUCCAAAUUAAGUUCCAAUAAUUUUCCCUGAAACUAGACUCAUAUUUAUUCUUAUCAUAAAAUUUUUAGAAUUUUUGGUUCAGCCAAUUAGUACAUUUUAAUCCUUAAAGUUACCUUUUUUUUGCUGUCUGACAGUUCUGACCCCUCUUCACUAAAAAUUAAUUAUCUCAUAAUACGAGACUCAGAUGAUGUUUUCGUCUAUUUAUCUUGAAAAUAGACUCAUUAAUAAUUCUAAGAAUAUAAAUUAUAACCCAUAAAUAUUUUUUAAAAAUUUUCAAUGAUUUUCUCAAAUCAGAUCAGGGGAUUUCGAAGUCAUUUUGACUCUAUCUCACAACAAUUUAAAUAUUUCACAAUAUGAAACUCUUUUGCUUACACCGUUCUUCUAUGUGAAACUAGACUCAUUAGGCUUUAAUUUCAUAUUUUAUUCAACCUCUAACUCAAUUUUAAAAAUUUUUGGUGGAUUUUCAAAUUUAGACUAUGGCUGCUGUCCAAAAAUGUUUUAGUGUAAAUUAACGAUACUAAGUUUAUCACACCAUAUUAAUUCAUUUUCACCACAUUGGUAAGGUUACAUAUUCAUACAUCAUAAGUAUAUACCUAUAAUCACAAGGUCAUCAUAAAAUCAUUCUCAUAAGCAUGAAUUACCUAUUUACAUCUUCACUAAAUGUGCAUCAUAAACUGAAAUCAUUUCUCAUGAGCUUGGCAUACAUACCUGUGUUACUCAAGAUGCUCAUAUUCAUUCCUUACUAAUCAUAUAACAUGAAUUGAAUUCAUAUAUCAUCAAUUUCAUGUAAGUACUUGUGUCACUCACAAUAUGGUCAUAACCUUUCUCAUUUAGCUUAAACCGUAACUCUCACCAUUGAACCAUUCGGAAAGCUAUCGGAUAUUCACUAAGCCCCAAACAUAGGGUAUAAUACCGAUGCCAUGUCCCAGACAUGGUCUUACACUGGCUUAUCCAUCAAAUCGAUGCCAUGUCCCAGACAUGGUCUUACACUAGCUUUCACAUUUUCAUGCCGAUGCCAUGUCCUAGACAUGGUCUUACACUGACACAUCUCGUAGCCGAUGCAUGUCCCAGACAUGUCUUACACUAGCUCUCGUCUCAAUGCUGAUGCCAUGUCCCAGACAUGGUCUUACACUGGCACACAAAUAACCCAAAUGUCAUGGCAUGAAAAUCCAAAUUGUUUCUUAAGGUUCAAACGGGAAUUCUACUAUCUCAAUAUUCAUCAAACAUAAUCAUUUCCACAACCAAGCAAUUCAUGCUAUAUCAAUUUAAACACAUAUAAUAACAAUGUAGUCGUAUUAUUUACAUAUAACUUACUGGUUUCAAUGGAAUACCAUAUUCCAUCAAAUCUCCAAGCAUUCAAUCAACACAUAAAUGUUAUUUACAUUUGACAUCACUUUCUCAUAUACAAUAUCAUCCACCUAAACUUUAAUACAAUUAUGGGAAGAUAGAUUUUCAAGUAUAAUAACAAUGGCAUAAAUAUCAUGCUUAUUUAAUCACAUAGACUUACCUCAAAUGCAAUUUUGGCUAAUUAUUCUUUUUUUUUUGUCUUUAACCAUGCACUUUCUCGAUUUAAGCCCAAAUCUCGAUUUCCUUGAUUUAACAUGAUGAAAUUCACUCAUCUAAUCACUAAAUAAAUUUAGACAAUCAAAAUUCACAUUUUUGACAAAAUGACCAUUUUAGCCCUAGACUUUCACAAAAUAACCAUUUUACCUUUAGACCCAGAAAUCGAUUUUUAUCAACUUUCCUUAUUAGCCAAGCCUAACUGACCAAUUAUUACUCUUAUGACAACCCCAAAUUUCCACCAUUUCACACAAUUACAGCCUAUUUUAUUACUUUUACAAAAUGACCCUUUUAGGUGUUUUCCAUUAAAAUCCUUUCACAAAAGUUGUUUAUUACACAACCAAGACUCAUUUUCUUCCAUAAGAAUUCAGCAAACAACAUAAAUCCUUUCAUGCAAAUCCCUAGACUAUCAACCAUUUCACAAAAUAGUCCCCCCAUUAGCUAGUUCAUGCUACAAGGGUUCUAAAAGUACAAAAAUUAUCAAAAAUAGGCAUAUAAAUCACUUACUUGUAAGGGAUAUAAGUUGUUGAAAAUUUUGAGCUUUCAAAACCCCCUCUUUGCUGGUAUUUUCG
rnacentral:lncRNA from 1 species